UGGGGAAUAUUGGACAAUGGGCGAAAGCCUGAUCCAGCCAUGGCGCGUGUGUGAAGAAGGUCUUCGGAUUGUAAAGCACUUUAAGUUGGGAGGAAGGGCAUUAACCUAAUACGUUAGUGUUUUGACGUUACCGACAGAAUAAGCACCGGCUAACUCUGUGCCAGCAGCCGCGGUAAUACAGAGGGUGCAAGCGUUAAUCGGAAUUACUGGGCGUAAAGCGCGCGUAGGUGGUCUGUUAAGUUGGAUGUGAAAUCCCCGGGCUCAACCUGGGAACUGCAUUCAAAACUGACUGACUAGAGUAUGGUAGAGGGUGGUGGAAUUUCCUGUGUAGCGGUGAAAUGCGUAGAUAUAGGAAGGAACACCAGUGGCGAAGGCGACCACCUGGACUAAUACUGACACUGAGGUGCGAAAGCGUGGGGAGCAAACA
rnacentral:rRNA from 1 species